UGGUGUCAGUGUAAAUCUCCUCUGUGUUGUGUGUCAGAUUGCUCUGUCUCAGGAUGGACAGAUUCAGUAUGUCCCCAUCACCACUGAACAGCAGGUUGUGGCCCCUGAAGAUCUGGAAGCAGUCGCUCAUUCAGCGGUCACUGCUAUUGCAGAUGCAGCAAUGACCCGGUUUACACUGAAGCCACACCUGAACAACUGGAACAACUGCAAGAGCAGGGCAUCCAGUAUGAUGUCAUCACUUUUAUUGAGGAGUAGAAACACGACACACUCAUUAUUUAUUAACAACAUCAACACACACACACACACACACACACGGACAGACAGAAGAAUAUCUGAAGCUCAUCUCAGCUCCAAAUGAGCAUCACAAACUGCGCUGAUCAUAAGUAACACAAACUUCUUCCACAAUCAUCAGUCAUUUAUAAGGUGAAUGUACAGUUAGAUCCUCUCAAAAUAUGAUUUAUGCCUUUGUAAAUAUUGAAAGAAAUGUAUCUUUAGCCUUGAAAAAGAAAUAAGUAUAGAGAAUCCUGUAUUUAAGAAGAAUAAUGGACAUGUCUCUGUGGAUGCUGCUUUAAUGACAGUCUGUAUAUAACGUUAGGCUGGAGGAUUGACGUCAUAUUGCUAUGAAACAGUUCCUAGCUGUAGCUAAAAUUCUUACAAAGAAGGUUUUGAUCAUUUGCUGUUUCAUUUUUAGCUUCUUCAGUUUUACAGAUAUGUCUUUCUUUAAACAUGGCUACAGACCGGAACUUUAAAUGCAAACCAAAUAAGUCAAAGCCUCUUUAUCUGAUUCUAACACUGAUUUUCUUGCAUUAGUUGUGCUAUAAUAUUGUACAAUUCUGGUUUUACAAAGCUGUUGUCUGCUGCAUAUGAUUUAAUAAUAUUUAUACUCGUGUACAUAUUG